rnacentral:rRNA from 1 species
UACGGGAGUGGCAAGCGUUAUCCGGAAUUAUUGGGCGUAAAGCGUCCGCAGGCGGUCUUGUAAGUCUGUUGUUAAAGCGUGGAGCUUAACUCCAUUUCAGCAAUGGAAACUGUAAGACUAGGGUGUGGUAGGGGCAGAGGGAAUUCCCGGUGUAGCGGUGAAAUGCGUAGAUAUCGGGAAGAACACCAGUGGCGAAGGCGCUCUGCUGGGCCAUAACUGACGCUCAUGGACGAAAGCCAGGGGAGCGAAAGGGAUUAGAUACCCCUGUAGUCCUGGCCGUAAACGAUGAACACUAGGUGUCGGGGGAAUCGACCCCCUCGGUGUCGUAGCCAACGCGUUAAGUGUUCCGCCUGGGGAGUACGCACGCAAGUGUGAAACUCAAAGGAAUUGACGGGGGCCCGCACAAGCGGUGGAGUAUGUGGUUUAAUUCGAUGCAACGCGAAGAACCUUACCAGGGUUUGACAUCCUGCGAAUCUUUUGGAAACAGAAGAGUGCCUUCGGGAACGCAGUGACAGGUGGUGCAUGGCUGUCGUCAGCUCGUGUCGUGAGAUGUUGGGUUAAGUCCCGCAACGAGCGCAACCCACGUCGUUAGUUGCCAGCAUUUAGUUGGGCACUCUAGCGAGACCGCCGGUGAUAAACCGGAGGAAGGUGUGGAUGACGUCAAGUCAUCAUGCCCCUUACAUCCUGGGCUACACACGUACUACAAUGCUACGGACAAAGGGCAGCAAACUCGCGAGAGCUAGCAAAUCCCAUAAACCGUGGCUCAGUUCAGAUCGUAGGCUGCAACUCGCCUACGUGAAGGAGGAAUCGCUAGUAAUCGCAGGUCAGCAUACUGCGGUGAAUACGUUCCCGGGCCU